UACAGAGGUCUCAAGCCUUGUUCGGAUUCAUUGGGCGUAAAGGGUGCGUAGGUGGCGCUGUAAGUCGGGUGUGAAAUUUCGGAGCUUAACUCCGAAACUGCAUUCGAUACUGCGGUGCUUGAGGACUGGAGAGGAGACUGGAAUUCAUGGUGUAGCAGUGAAAUGCGUAGAGAUCAUGAGGAAGACCAGUGGCGAAGGCGGGUCUCUGGACAGUUCCUGACACUGAGGCACGAAGGCCAGGGGAGCAAACGGG
rnacentral:rRNA from 1 species